AUCCUAAAUCAGUACUUAAGUUGGAACAUCCACGUUUCAAAUGAUCUAGAAGAUGAGUGAAGUAAAGGUGGCAAAGAUGAACCUCGAAGAGAGUCUGUUGGGGAAGGUUGUUCUGUAGACAAUGUUCCAUCGAAGGGCUUGAUAAAAAACCCAAUAGAUACCCCCCCACACUUCUGCAACAAACAAACCAAGCCAAGCCCAUUGGCCAGCUUCUCCUUUUGCAGGUAUGUGAGUGAGUCUGAAUGCCCAGACGAAGCAUAUGGCAACAAACAAAGAGACAGCAUAGAGCCUCCGAAUGUACCUUGCUUUGUCUUUCCUUGUUUCAAACAAUGACUUCUCUUCACCACUCCCCAUUGUGCCUUCUAACUCACUCCUCUCUCUUCUUGCUCUGCAUCUUCACUUCACUUUCUUAUAUAGCUACAAAAUCAAUGAUCUUCCAUGAGCUACUGAUGUCAUUUUGGAAUGGUUUUUGAGUUAAUCCUCUUUCUUAUACAGCCACAAAUUAUCUCUAAUCAUGCAUGCUACCUCGAAGACUCCAAAGCAAAAGCCAAAAGCAACUGACGAGUGCACUGACGAAACCAGACCAAUAUUUCUACAUUAACUUGGACCAAAUCAUACUUAUUUUGUUUUCGUAACCAAACUUGUUUAACUUAAUUGAUGUUUCGAAACAAACGUAUGUUUGAUUGAUUUUUAUGGUUAGUUUAGUAAUUUUAUUCAUGUGGGUCGGAUAAAAUCAGUGAUGAUGAGAAAUAAGAACAUAGAGCAGAAAAGGAGCGUAUAGAUGGAAAGUUCCUUUUGAGUAGUCACCGUCCAACCCCACAGACUCAUAAAAAUCAUUUAAUGGGUGUCACUCUCCAACCUACCCAGCAAAUAUAAGAACCACUCAAACCAUAUUAAGAUUCUGUUUCUAAAAAUACAAAAGGAUGAUGUCGAGAGUGUGAUUUUGGGAGAAUAUUUUUGCAUGCAUGCUACCAAUUAUUUAGUUUCUAAAUUUAGUCUCUAAAACCUUGGUUGCUAAUUAGAGACCAAUUUAGAAACUAUUUAACAAUAAUAGAAAAUAAUAUAAACUAAUUUAGAAACCAAUUUUUGUUUUAGUUUCCAAAAUGGUCUCUAAUUUAGUUACUAUUGCAACUAUUUAUUUUGGUCACUAAAAAUUGGUUUCUAUUUCAUGAUUUUCUUUGUAGUGGUAAGAGUUGUAGAUUUUUAUUUUUUUUUGAAUUUAUCUUUUAAAUGGAUUAAACUAUAUUAAGUACAAUAGCAAAAUGACGUAAAUGAAAAUAAAGGGUCAAAUUUCACCAGACGUGAAAUAAAGUGUUACUGAAUUAUAAAUUUAUUCUUUUAUCUUUCUAUUUAUAUUGAUUUGAUCUUUUAUUUUUGAAAUAAUUAUUUUCAUAUCAAUAUAUAUUAAGUAUUAAAAUAAAUAAAUAUUGAAUCGUUUUAGCUAACAACAAGUCUCUAGAUUAAAAUAUAAUAACAAAAUUAUAAUCACAUAAAUAUACAUUAAAAUAAUCUCACGACCAUCACACAACUCACAAAUUUCAAUAAACUUCUCUCACAAAUCUACUUUAAGAUGCUAUAAUCUUAACGCAUUCAUUUUCUUCACACUUUGCUAUCAAAUCCUCACACUUUCACUCAUCAAUCCAAACACAGCCUACGUGAAAUUGCAUUAGGCCCAGCUAAUUUGUGUUUUAAAGACUAUUUCCAUUUUAAAGUUAUGUCUCACAGUGAAAUCUCAUUUUAACUAAUUUCUAUUUUUUAUUAAUUAGAAAAUUGUUUGUCAUUCUAGUAAUAUUACAUAAAUAUUUUUUUUCUUUAUAGUUUGUAUUUUUUUUUAAAUGCUACUUCAUACAGGGUUUCUGAAAAUAUCAGUUUCUAAUGUUAAAAUUUAGUUAAAUAAAUUAGUGAAAAUUUAUAUAUUUAUAAAUAUGGUAAACAAUUCUGGAGUUAACUAAACAAAAUACACAUCACACAACUUCCUUUUCACCUUAAUUACUUGUUUUUUUUUUUUUAUCGGCAAUACCUUAAUUACUUGUAGGUUGUGUUAAUAUCGGGUAGGGAAUUUGAGGGAGUGAAUUUGGAGUGAUUUGAGAGAAAAACCAGAAGAAAGUGAUGUUCUUUAGAUUAAUGUAUGUUUGAGUGAAUUUGUGAGGAAAAAUUUAUCCGUAAGUGAUAUGAUUAUUUGAAUAUUUAUUUUCUUGCUUAAGGGAUAAUGGAUGUUAGAUAUUUGCUUUAUUAGAUAUGUUAUUUAUAACAUACAUGUAGAAAAUAUAGUAAACUAUUUCUCAUUUUGAGAAAAUAACUAUAUUUAUUGGGAUUUUUUUUUUUUACUUAAAUGUGAGUUUUUUAUUUGAAAUGUCAUGCAAACUACAUAAAUUGUUUUUACAUCUAUUUAAGUUUUAUUUCACACAUAACACUAAUAAACAUAUUACUCUAUGACAUAAUUAACAUUAUUCAUAAAUUUUGGUUAAGAAUAUGUUAUUGUAUAAACCGAAAAGGUCUUCUCCAUGUCGUUUAAAUUUUUGGGAUCUUCGACUUCAACACCUAACUUGUCUCGAUACUAGGUCUCUUCUCAGAAAAAGGAAUGGUAUCAGCAAAAGGUCAUCGGAUGCUAAAGUUAAUAAUAAAUGUCACAAAACACGUAUCUUUUGUCUUGGUCCUGACCGUGUAUUUAAAGGGUCAAAGUGGGUUUAUGUGUUGGUGAGCCCGAUUUAUCAUAACUUACCAAGUUAAUCUUAUGAUUAUGAGAGAUUUCGUACACAUGAGUUAUGUUUAAUUAGUUACCUUAGACCGUGGUUAAUCUUGGAUCAUCAGGAUAUGUUAAACUUUUGGAGGGUUCGGUCAUGGUUGGCCUUAUAGUACAUAAUCCCAAUAAAUCAACUCCUCAAAAUUUAAUCACCAAAAUAAAUUUUUGCGCUCACAAAAAUUCAAACAAACAAAGCUAGCAAGAAAUCAAAUAACUAAAAGAGUUCCGUAAUUAUACACCAAUAAUUAUACUUUUUGAAUAAUAAUUCAAGUUUGAGUCCUAAGUCUUAUGUUCAGUCCUUUUAUGUUGUUUCAUAUAUACUAUCUGGAUGAUAUAAAUAUAUAUUAGGUUUUUCUCUAGUGUAAUUAACCUCUAGCAUAACAUAGGAUGAAGGUUUAAAUUAAUAACAGAAGUAAUAAUAACGCCAUGUAUUGACAAUAUUUCUUUCCAUUUCAAAUUAAUAAUAUGACAAUAAGUACAUAUUUUUCAAUGGAAAGGCAAAAAUAUUUAGAUAAAAUAAUGAAAGCAAAAUGUCUUUGCCCAUUAGAGGGUAAAACAAAAGACUACAUCAAUAUACUCAAUUGAAUAGUUUGAAAAACAUACAUGCAGUGAAAGCCAAUGUAGUAGACUUGAUAGAAACAAAAGUUGGCAUUCGACCCUUAUCCUUCCUCACAAAAAUGGCUUGGUAUAAGGGAAUAUUGAUGACAACUAAGAAUCCACACAAAAGAACUUGUAAUGUCAUUUUCUCAGCAGCAAAGGUACCUUUGUGAAGGACCAAUUCCUUUGAAGUUAGAAGCAAGCAAAACAAAUUGAGUAAUGCAAGUGUUGCUAGAACCGUGAAAUAAGGAGAAGAUGUUCCAAACUCCAUGACUCUUUUCUUGUAACGCUGAGCAACAUCAUCAUCAAUGACCUUUGAUGUGAGUGAAAAUGAUGAAUUUGGACGUCCAAAGAACCCUAGGAUACCGUCUAUUAAGGAAAAAAGAAAGGAACUUGUUUUCACGUAUAACCAUAUUCUUGUACCAUUCCACCAACCUUGGAUUGAUCCUCCCAUACUCAAACCCUCAAUCAAGCUAUAAGCAAUUUCCCCAACAAUUACACAUGCGAAAGGUAUAAACCAUACGCUAGAAAUCUGUUGAACCAAAACAUUAAGUACAAAAUGUUAACAACAUUAAAGAAUCAUAUAAAAACAUAACAUGUUUAUGAUUUAUGCAUUUAGUUCACUCAUGAUAUUUUUCAUCUCAAUUUCUCAUUCAUAUAAUUAGUAAAUUAAAAACAAAUAUAAAAAUAUAAUUAGACGAAUAUAAGUCCUAAGUAUCAAAAUAUUUUUGAAGAAAUAUACUCAACUUUCGAUUUCAUUAAUAUACGCAAUUGGUAACAUGGCACAAAAUUCCAUUUCAAAGUAGAAAUUCAAAGUUAAAACUAACAUACCAGAAAAAUUGAUGAAAAUAAUAAUUUGAGGAAAAGUUCAUAAAUUAAAAAACAAACUAGCUUAUUAAAAUCCAAUUAAAUAAAAAUGCCUCUAAAACCCCACUAAUUAUAUAUCAGCUUAAGUGGCAAAGAUUUGGUUUAACAUUGAGUAUAAAGUCAAACAAUAAAAGAAGAAAACUUUCUACGAUUCAACUUUUACCUAAUUAUAAAUUUUGAGUAGUUUACAAUGUGAAUUUGUGUUUGAUAAGGAGUUUCAAAAAAGAAAAUGUUUCAAAAGUUGUGAUUGUUUUGUGAGAAAAAAUGAUAUUACCUUUGGAAAGAAGGAAACACCCUUAAGGAGAUAAAGUGAAGGGAUGAUGGAGUAAUAUAGUACUGACAAUGAAGUGAUGGCAAAGAAGUUGUAGUGUCCAUAUCCCAAUAGUAAGCCUAGGUUGAUCUUUUCAUCACCAUACCAUUUAGGUCUGAACUCAGAAAGUAAAAGUUGCACUUGACCUUCACCCCAUCUCUUCAUUUGAACUAGUGUGUGAAGUAAGUUCGUUGGAGCAAUGCCAGAAAAAGCACUUAUUGAUGGGUUGUAGUAUACUGAUUUCCAUCCAUGUGACUGUAUUUGCAACCCUGUUAUCACAUCCUCCACAAGACAUCCAUAUACUGAACCAAUCUACAAAAAAAUAAUCAUUUAUUGUACUUUAAUAAAUGCUCAAUAUUAUUGACUAUGAUUAUGAAUGUGACUAUGAAACUGUAAAAGAGAUUAGUAAACCACCUUUUUCCCCCAUAAGGUAUUUUUCUCAUAACUGCAAUUUGCUAAAGCCUUUGAUUCUUCUUCUAGUUCAUGCAAGUUUACUUGAGUCACCUCAUUCUCAUUCUCAUCAUUCCAAUCAUUUUUGUAUUCACGACUAAACUUCUUCCUAUAGAAAGCAUCUCUUCUAAGAUAGCAACAAGUUCCAAUAAAAAUAGGGCCACCAAAACCAUCAGCACCAUGGAGUUCUACCUUCAAAGUGAUCAAUAGAGUGUGAAAUUAUUUUUAGAUAAACAUAUCAAUAUUUAUCAUAAUAGCAAUGUUAUCUAUGUCUAAAGUAAGAAAAUUACUACAAAUAUAUUUUCACAAAAAUUAUGUACAUUUAAGAAAGACACGUGUCAUCUUAGAGAUAAAAAAAAUUAAUAUAGAAAUAUGGACAGGUAGAUGAAAAAAUCUAUUACAUCAAUAAUUUAACUAACUCACCUCCACAAUUUCUGAUAGAGAAUUGCCGUAAAGAUCAUUUUUUCCAAUGUUAUCAAAAGAUUGUGGAAAUUGCACAUAAGCAAUUUCUUGGCCUUUAUCUUCAUCCAUGAAAAAACAUAGAGUAUCUCUCACUGAUUGUGAAUGGGUGGAGUACAUGUCACAAUCUAGAAUUAGAAUGAUUUUCCCAUUGCUAAUCGAUGAAGACACUCUUAGCUACAUCAAUGUAAAGAAAUAUAAUGUCAUGUUCAAUGCACCUCGAUCGAAUAAUAUUUCGUGAAAGAUUACUAACCACGCCAUGUAGAGAUUUAUAUAAAUAAUUUAUCGUAUUUUAUUUCAAUUAAAAUUUGAAAAUUUUGUUUAUGAGAUAUUAGAAGAAUAAGUCACAAGGUUAUUUAAAACUCUUUAUAAUAUAUAUAGAGAGAUAGCUAGAUAGAAAUAAUAACAUAUAUAUUAAUUUAUUGCUAUCUACUUUAUUGGGAUGUGAUUCUCCAUCCAAAUUUUGUUGUAAGGAGAGUGAAGGGUUGUAAUUAUGUAUGGUACCAAUGAAUUUAUAGCUCCGGCUUUGAAGUGGGUGUGAUAUUGAGGUCUCUUUUCACGAGCCAUAUACACUAAGGUUGGCAAAAUACACCCGUCUACGUCCUUUGACCCUUCUGUGUCCUUUUUAUGCAUCACUAUCUGUUAACACAAUCAAACAUGCAUCAAACUUUCUGUACAUCUCAAACACAUACUUUUACAAAACAAAAACUUCAGAAAUUGAUGUACUUGAAGGAUAGUAUCGUGAUCACGUGGAGAGGAAUACGAAUCCCAUUGGGAAAAACCCUUAUGCUUUGACCGUGCUUCACUGGGUACACCCAACUUUGUUGCUUCUUCUACUCUCCUUUUCAUUUCUUCGUAUAAUUUCUACACAUAAAAUGAAACUGAGUCUUCAAAAUACUUGGUGAACAAGUGAGAUGAAAGUAAGAAGAUGAGUAAUAGGUGCAUACAUGGAUGGUUGCCAAGUGUUUGACAUAGUUAUGGUCCUCUGAUUUUGUUGAAGCAACAGUGUUAAAAUAGGCAGCAGGUGAUCUUGGUUCCACCUUAAAUCUCUUGCAGAAUGGAAUCCAAUGCUUGGCAAAGGAAGAAGCUUGUAAAAGAGCAUAAAAGGUUACAUCUGAGCCUCCAUCAUCUGAGAGAUACACGCUCAACUUCUCAGCUGGAUAGUCAUAAGCCAUCACAGAUAACACUGUAUUGAUCACCAUCAUCGGUGGCUCCACCACUGCAUCUGCCGUAAACACAAAGAUGUCCACUCCCGGGAACCUACUCUCAUAUCUGCCAAAUUGAAAUUCACACACACAUAAUCAUAAAUCAGUACACUACAAAAAAAUCAGAUUUAUAGACAGAUUUUUAUCCACAGAGUCCAUAGAAACAUCUACGUAAAGGUGACAAAGAUGAACCUUGGAGUGAGUCUGUUGGGGAAGGUUGUUCUGUAGACCAUGUUCCAUCGAAGGGCUUGAUAAAAGAUCCAAUAGAUGCCACCCCACACUUCUGCAACAAACAAACCAAGCCAAGCCCAUUUCCCAGCUUCUCCUUUUGCAGGUAUGUGAGUGAGUCUGAAUGCCCAGACGAAGCAUAUGGCCACAGACAAAGAGACAGCAUAGAGCCUCCGAAUGUGCCUUGCUUUGUCUUUCCUUGUUUCAAACAAUGA
rnacentral:lncRNA from 1 species